AGACAAUGGUGAGAGGCAUUAUUUUAAG
rnacentral:piRNA from 1 species